rnacentral:rRNA from 1 species
CCUACGGGAGGCAGCAGUGAGGAAUAUUGGUCAAUGGGCGAGAGCCUGAACCAGCCAAGUCGCGUGAAGGAUGAAGGAUCUAUGGUUUGUACACUUCAUUUAUAUGGGAAUAAAGUGAGGAACGUGAUCCUUUUUGUAUGUACCAUAUGAUUAAGCAUCGGCUAACACCGGGCCAGCAGCGGCGGUAAUACGGAGGAUGCGAGCGUUAUCCGGAUGUAUUGGGUGUAAAGGGUGAGUAGUUGGUUGAUUAAGUCAGGCGUGAAAGUUUGUGGCUCAACCAUAAAAUUGCCGUUGAAACUGGUUGACUUGAGUAUAUUUGGGGGAGGCGGAAUGCGUGGUGUAGCGGUGAAAUGCAUAGAUAUUACGCAGAACUCCGAUUGCGAAGGCGGCUUACUAAACUAUAACUGACGCUGAAGCACGAAAGCGUGGGGAGCAAACAGGAUUAGAUACCCCGGUAGUC